rnacentral:tRNA from 1 species
GCCCGGCUAGCUCGGUCAGUAGAGCAUGAGACUCUUAAUCUCUGGAGCGUGGGUUUGAGCCCCACGCUGGGUA